rnacentral:lncRNA from 1 species
GAGGGUCUUGCAUUUGCCCUACUGGUUUUUCCACACAGGUGCCUCUGACAGCCUCCUCCACUUUCUCAACAGGGCCCCCCCGGCUCCGUGGGUAUACCAGGUCCAACUGGCCCUCCAGGGCCCCCAGGUUUAACUGGACCUCCUGGUCCACCAGGGCUGCCAGGACCUAAGGUAUUUCUUUUCCCCUUAUUGAUGAUGGUGGUUGGUUUUGCUUUGUUUUUCGUUCUGUUGAUUUGUGGCUUCUAAGUGCUGAUGACUUUUACUUUUUGCAGGGUAAUAUGGGUUUGAAUUUCCAAGGACCCAAAGGUGAAAAAGGUGAACAGGGUCUUCAGGGACCUCCAGGGCCACCAGGACAAAUUGGAGAACAGAAGAGACCAAAUGACAUUGAAUUUCAGAAAGGAGAUCAGGGUAUUCCAGGUGAUCCAGGCCCACCAGGACUUCCUGGGCCACAAGGCCCUCCUGGUCUUCCCGGUGGCGUAAAAGGUGAAAAAGGUGAGCAAGGAGAACCAGGCAAAAGAGGAAAGCCUGGCAAAGAUGGAGAUCCUGGUCAGCCUGGUCUAGAUGUGAGUAUCUCAUAUGUUUCUCACCUAAGCAGACUCCUUAAAGGUUUUUCUCCUGAUAUGGAGAAGAUCUGAAUGUGAUUUUCUUUCUUUUUUCUUGAAGGGUUU